AGAGUUUGAUCCUGGCUCAGGAUGAACGCUGGCGGCGUGCUUAACACAUGCAAGUCGAACGGGAAACCUUUUAUUGAAGCUUCGGCAGAUUUAGCUGGUUUCUAGUGGCGGACGGGUGAGUAACGCGUGGGUAACCUGCCUUAUACAGGGGGAUAACAACCAGAAAUGGUUGCUAAUACCGCAUAAGCGCACAGGACCGCAUGGUCCGGUGUGAAAAACUCCGGUGGUAUAAGAUGGACCCGCGUUGGAUUAGCUAGUUGGCGGGGUAACGGCCUACCAAGGCGACGAUCCAUAGCCGGCCUGAGAGGGUGAACGGCCACAUUGGGACUGAGACACGGCCCAGACUCCUACGGGAGGCAGCAGUGGGGAAUAUUGCACAAUGGGGGAAACCCUGAUGCAGCGACGCCGCGUGAAGGAAGAAGUAUCUCGGUAUGUAAACUUCUAUCAGCAGGGAAGAUAGUGACGGUACCUGACUAAGAAGCCCCGGCUAACUACGUGCCAGCAGCCGCGGUAAUACGUAGGGGGCAAGCGUUAUCCGGAUUUACUGGGUGUAAAGGGAGCGUAGACGGACUGGCAAGUCUGAUGUGAAAGGCGGGGGCUCAACCCCUGGACUGCAUUGAAAACUGUUAGUCUUGAGUGCCGGAGAGGUAAGCGGAAUUCCUAGUGUAGCGGUGAAAUGCGUAGAUAUUAGGAGGAACACCAGUGGCGAAGGCGGCUUACUGGACGGUAACUGACGUUGAGGCUCGAAAGCGUGGGGAGCAAACCAGGAUUAGAUACCCUGGUAGUCCACGCCGUAAACGAU
rnacentral:rRNA from 1 species